GCCGCCGUAGCGUAGCUUGGUAGCGCAGAGGCCUGAAACACCUCUGGUAGGUGGGAAUAUCCCGCCGGCGGCC
rnacentral:tRNA from 1 species